UGUGCACCUGGGCUAGAAAUCAAUUGAGACAUUUUAGGUUUGGCUGAGGUCAUACUUGCUAUUGCUCGUCUGUUUUGAUCUGUGAUCUGCUAAAAGAACACUUAUUUUAAGCUCUUAAAUGAAUUGACUUCUCCAAGAACUAGUCAUUACAAGAACUCUGGAGGCAUGGAGCAAAGAAUCUAUUCAAGAUGCCUGCAGAAACAGAGUCCAUCUCGACUACACCUGUGCAGCAAGCACCAUCGAUGCCAAACACAGCAGCAGUCCACCUCCUCUCAUCUUGCCAGAGUCUUGCGCUGGCAGCUCGGAACAUGGACCACCUGGCAAGUGGUUGUUGCGAGAUGUUGAUGGCAGUCUCUGAAUUCUAUUGCUUGGUCAACAUGAGUCCCAUUUUGUCCAGACCGGCUCCUUAGGAGCAGAAUUAAGUCCAAUCUGGGCCAGCAUGUCUCCUCUCCUGGCUCUCAUUCCUCUCCUCUGAGCAAUCACCGCACCCGCCAUGGUGCCUGGUCUGUAACUGCUGCUCUUUAAUCCAAAAACCCCGUCUUCAUCUUCCAAUGACUGUAUUGAUGAGGUAACGCAUUUUUGGCAAUAAAGCCGGAAAAAACAGAUAAAAAAAAAAGAAAAAAGUGUAGCGAAGAAGCGCUGCUGGUUGUAAUGCUUAGUCUACACAUACAGUAGACUCAGAGCUAGGGGUGGGGGGAAAAAUCGAUACAGCAUAGUAUCGCGAUAUUUUGCAAGGCAAUAUUGUAUUGUAACACUAACGUCAAGUAUCGACCUUUUAUUAUAUAAAUUGUACAUGAGAAGUUUGUUUUUUGGCACUAAUAAAAUUGCUUUUUCAGUCCACUAGCAAUAAUAUUGUAUCGUGACAUAAGUAUCGUGAUAAUAUCAUAUUGUGGGGCCUCUGGUGAUUCCCACACCUACUCAGAGCUGUCCAUAUUCCAUAAAUUGUGACACACCAUCUGUCUCAGCACCAAAACUAUCUAUGCUUGUUUUGUUGUUCCGCUGUCUAAUGUAAUAAACGACUAUGUCUUUUGGACACUCUGGAACGUGAUGGUACCAUUCAUGCUCAUUCAUGUGUGACAAAUGAGCCUUUUGCCGACCACUGCAGUAGGUGAAACCAAUGUGAGACGCACAUUUUGAUCAAAAAGUGCAGAGAGGCUUUAUAUCGGCCCCUGUGAAAGAGGCACUGCUCAGGUCUAUGUAAAGAAGAAAACAGCUGAGGUUGCUGCAGCAACCACAGGUCUUAUAACAGCACUUUGAGUCUGGGUAUUUAUGUCACAGUUUUGGUCUGUUUGUCCAUCUGCUUUGUUCCGUGUGCCUGCUUGUUUAUUUUGGUAAUGGCCUGUGUCUGCUAUGCGUUGCAUACGUUGUUUCCUGUUGUCCUGAUUACCUAAUGUGUCCUGCCUGCUUUUGUUCCCCUUCUUGCUUGUGUGCAUCUGUAUUUUCCAGAUCUACGCUACCUCCGCGUCAUCAUUGUUUGUCCAGUGUACCUGCGUGUCUCUGUGUUUCACUACCUUGCAGGAUAUUUGGAUCUUCUGUUUGGAUUAAUGCAUUCACCUUUUGGACUAUUUGCCUUUGUUUGGACAUUUACCUGCCACCAACAAAUGUAAGCCUUGUUUCUGUUUUGUGGCAAUAAACCUGACAAAUUGUA